rnacentral:rRNA from 1 species
AUACAGAGGGUGCGAGCGUUAAUCGGAAUUACUGGGCGUAAAGCGCGCGUAGGCGGCUUGGUCAGUCGGAUGUGAAAGCCCCGGGCUCAACCUGGGAAUGGCAUUCGAUACUGCCAGGCUAGAGUAUGGGAGAGGGAAGUGGAAUUUCCGGUGUAGCGGUGAAAUGCGUAUAUAUCGGAAGGAACACCAGUGGCGAAGGCGACUUCCUGGCCCAAUACUGACGCUGAGGUGCGAAAGCGUGGGGAGCGAACAGGAUUAGAAACCCUAGUAGUCC